rnacentral:rRNA from 1 species
UACGUAGGUGGCAAGCGUUAUCCGGAUUUAUUGGGCGUAAAGGGAACGCAGGCGGUCUUUUAAGUCUGAUGUGAAAGCCUUCGGCUUAACCGGAGUAGUGCAUUGGAAACUGGGAGACUUGAGUGCAGAAGAGGAGAGUGGAACUCCAUGUGUAGCGGUGAAUUGCGUAGAUAUAUGGAAGAACACCAGUGGCGAAAGCGGCUCUCUGGUCUGUAACUGACGCUGAGGUUCGAAAGCGUGGGUAGCAAACAGG